GCCGGGGUAGCUCAGCUGGUAGAGCAACGCAUUCGUAAUGCGUGGGUCGUGAGUUCGAAUCUCAUCCCCGGCUCCA
rnacentral:tRNA from 2 species